GAUGAAGAACGCAGCGAAAUGCGAUAAGUAAUGUGAAUUGCAGAAUUCAGUGAAUCAUCGAAUCUUUGAACGCACAUUGCGCCCGCCAGUAUUCUGGCGGGCAUGCCUGUUCGAGCGUCAUUACAACCCUCAGGCCCCCGGGCCUGGCGUUGGGGAUCGGCUGAAGCCCCCUGUGGGCACACGCCGUCCCUCAAAUACAGUGGCGGUCCCGCCGCAGCUUCCAUUGCGUAGUAGCUAACACCUCGCAACUGGAGAGCGGCGCGGCCAUGCCGUAAAACACCCAACUUCUGAAUGUUGACCUCGAAUCAGGUAGGAAUACCCGCUGAACUUAAGCAUAUCAAUAAGCGGAGGA
rnacentral:misc_RNA from 1 species